rnacentral:rRNA from 1 species
UACGUAGGGUGCAAGCGUUAAUCGGAAUUACUGGGCGUAAAGCGUGCGCAGGCGGCUUUGCAAGACAGAUGUGAAAUCCCCGGGCUUAACCUGGGAACUGCAUUUGUGACUGCAUGGCUGGAGUGCGGCAGAGGGGGAUGGAAUUCCGCGUGUAGCAGUGAAAUGCGUAGAUAUGCGGAGGAACACCGAUGGCGAAGGCAAUCCCCUGGACCUGUACUGACGCUCAUGCACGAAAGCGUGGGGAGCGAACAGG